rnacentral:rRNA from 1 species
GACGAACGCUGGCGGCGUGCUUAACACAUGCAAGUCGAACGGUAAGGCCCCUUCGGGGGUACACGAGUGGCGAACGGGUGAGUAACACGUGAGCAACCUGCCCUUGACACCGGAAUAACAGUUGGAAACAGCUGCUAAUGCCGGAUACGACCUCCGAUGGCAUCAUCUGGAGGUGGAAAGCGAUUCAGCGGUCAAGGAUGGGCUCGCGGCCUAUCAGCUUGUUGGUGAGGUAAUGGCUCACCAAGGCUUCGACGGGUAGCCGGCCUGAGAGGGCGACCGGCCACACUGGGACUGAGAUACGGCCCAGACUCCUACGGGUGGCUG